rnacentral:rRNA from 1 species
GUACGUAGGGAGGGCAAGCGUUAUCCGGAAUGAUUGGGCGUAAAGGCGUCUGUAGGUGGCUUUUCAAGUCCGCCGUCAAAUCCCAGGGCUCAACCCUGGAACAGGCGGUGGAAACUACCAAGCUGGAGUACGGUAGGGGCAGAGGGAAUUCCGGUGGAGCGGUGAAAUGCAUUGAGAUCGGGAAAGAAACACCAACGGCGAAAGCAUCAGCG